rnacentral:lncRNA from 1 species
UCUCUAUACAGGGAAUGUCACCACAUGUGAAAUUCAGGCAUCUGCUUUGGAGUUUGACUUCCUUGUCUCAGUUAUAGAGGGCAUGUCUUCUGCAAAGAAGUUACAAGAUCAAUCUUCAGCUUUUGACAGAGACUAGGAAACACAUGAAGGAGGGUGCCAAGACAUGAAUCAGCAUCACCUAAUGGAUCUUUAAAGUUACUGCAGGAUUUCAUGUCCAUGCCUAGUCAUGCAGGACUGUGCCUCUGGAAAGAAGAUAAAAGAUUAAAGCUUCAGCCUGUGACAGAGAGCAUGGAUUUUCUGAUAUUUUUAUAUCCUUAGAUCAGCCAUGGUGAGAACAGGAAUGGCAACAAAUGUCAUCAACAUUACACCUUGGCAUCUAAGAAAAAUCAGUUGUAACUAAGAGACAUAGAUCCUACUAUACCCAGAAUCCAGUCAGUCUUGGGACAGUAAUGAUGGUAGCAUGGUAUCAUUAGUGACCUAUGACACCCAAGAAUAAAACCAUUGUUUAUCCUGUUAUUGUUUUUGUAGUGUACUAGAUUUCCUAGCCUGCUUUUCUUGCAGGUCAGUCUUUUGCUACCUAACAACUCAGUAGAGUGAUGAGCCUUUUAGGGAAAUCAAUAAAUUAUGUUCUGAUCAUGCCCACCUUAGUAUUAUAUUAUGUAAAUAAAUGGACACAGGAGUUUUCAUUGUAACCUUUUACUUAAGAAUAUCGUGAGUCCUAAGAUUUCAUGCUAUUUUUCUUUCUGUCUUUAGAGAUCAUGUCUCUGUUAUAUAUCCUGGAUGUUUCUGAUAUUGUAUUUCUUGGAUUAAUAUAUUUCUGACAGUAGAAAUUACAUUAGAGCUUUAUAUGUGUCAAAAAAUGCUCUGACCUCUUUAAAACCACACAUUGAAGAAUUGAAAGGGGUUUGCAACCCUAUAGGAAGUACAACAAUAUCAACCAACCAGAUUGCUCCAGAGCUCCCAGGGAUCAAACCACCCACCAAAGAGUACAUAUGCAGGACCCAUAACUUCUGCCUCAUAGGUAGCAAAGGAUGGUAUUGUCAGGCAUCAAGAGUAAAAGAAUACCUUGGUCCUGAGAAGGCUCAAUAUCCUAGUAUAGAGGAAUGUAAGUGCAGGGAGUUGGAUUUUUGAUAGGUGGGUGGGGGGACACCCCCAUAGAAACAGAGGGAGGGAGUAUUGGAAAAGGGGUUACUGGGUGGAAAAAGGGGAAGGGGGGAUAACCAAUAAAUUAAGAAAAUAGCCGAUGAAAAUAAAAAAAUAAUAGAAUAGAAAAUCCACACAUUAAAAGUUCCACAUAUACCAUAUUUGGAUGUCAAUAACCACAGCAUAUAAACAUUGUUUUGAACACGGAGUGGAGUGAAAUAUUUUUUCAGAUUCAUGGGACACUGCAGCUUUCCAUACAAGCUGAGUAUAGGUGGAAUAGGGCAUGGGCAGAAUAUUAAACUUAGUGUUAAAACAACCCUUUGUGGAAGCAUGGGAACACAAUUUAAACAUUAAAUUAUCAAGGAAAGGCCAUGCACAGAGCAUAUAAAUGAUAAAUUGGAAAAGGACAAAAAGUCGCAUCACAAGUGGAAAGCAGGCAGCAAAAUUGCAAGAGAAGAGACACCGUCAGUUGGUUCAAAAAGAAAGCCUCUCUUGCAAAUAAAUUAAAGCUAGGAAGAAGGAUCCAGAAAUUGAACCUUCCCCCAAAGUUAUGUACAGUAACAUGGUUUUUUGUUGGUCAUUGUAGAAUGAAGAUGUUAAAAACAAGUUUUAUGACCAUCUACUUUCAAUUUCUCUGCUUCCUUCUGGAAAGCCAGGGAGGAGGGAAUGAGGUAUGAAUCAGCAGCACUGAUGGAGAUCUCCAUGGAUACAUCAGGAUUUUACGUUCAAACCUAGAUAUGAGAUCUCUCUCUCCUGAUUGGAUCUGAUUCCAUUCUCUAUCUUAAUACACAUUCUCAAUCAACCAGAAGCAAGGAGAGCAAAUACAUUUCUCUGCAGGGUAAGAUUUGGUCAGGCUUCUGGCUAUACUCCAGGAAUUUUCUGGUCCUGGAUAUAACCACUGACAGACUGAAUGGUGCUAAAGAGAAGGGAGAGUGCUUGUGUCACUGUCAGCAGACAGAGCCAAUGAAAUCAUCAAAGCCUGUGCUUGUUUAUUUCAGAGCCUCCAUGCACUUCUUGCUUUUAGUCCUUGUUUAGUAUUAUAGCUGUCACUCUAUGUUUAGUAUCAUAGCUGUCACUCUAUGGGAAAUUCAGAUAUCUGAUUUGGAGGGUGACUUAACUUUUCUCAGUCAUGCUCUGAUAUGUCUUCUGCAAAGAAGAUACAAGAUUCAAUCUUCAGCUUGUGACAGAGAGUAGCAAAUUUUUCACACUUUCAGAACCUUAGGUCAGACACUGUGAGAAGUGCUGUGGAAGCAAAUGACUGCUACAUACCACCAUGGAGUCUCUGAAAAAUCUUGAUGUAACUAAUAGACACAGAUCCUAUCUUACCCAAAAACUAAGCAUCCUUGAGGCAGUGAUGCUGGCAGCAGUUUUUUAUUUAUGGUAUGAAUAUUCAACAAUUGAACCAUUGUUUAUAGUGUUAUUUUAUGUUUAAUAUACUAUAAUCUCUAGCAUGUUUGUUGUUCCAAGCCUGUUCAUUACAAACUGUGUUCAAUGGAGUCUCAAGCCCUUUAGGGAAAUCAAUACAUUAGCAAUCUCCUGAAGAUCUCCACGUUGAUACAUACAUACACUAUAAAAAAAUGAACACAGUAAUUUUCAUGGGGAACUUGUACUAGUGGCUCCCUUGAGACCUAUAUUUUUUCUGCUAUCUCAAUUCUGCCUUGAGAGUUCAGGUCACUGUUGUAUAACAUUGACAUUUCUAAAAUGUAUUACUUUUAUUCAGAUAUUCCUUUCAGUAGUAAACAAAUUACAAUUGUAUAUAUAUCAGAAAAAUUUCUGUCCUCUUUACAAGCACACUUCAAAUUUUCCUUCAUACUAUGUAUUGUUGGGAUUAUCCACAGUAUGUGAACAAUGUUUUUAACUCUAGAUUAUACUUAAUAUUCUGC